UACGAGGGGGGCAAGCGUUGUCCGGAAUUAUUGGGCGUAAAGCGCGCGCAGGCGGUCCCUUAAGUCUGAUGUGAAAUCCCACGGCUCAACCGUGGAAGGUCAUUGGAAACUGGGGGACUUGAGUACAGAAGAGGAAAGCGGAAUUCCAAGUGUAGCGGUAAAAUGCGUAGAGAUUUGGAGGAACACCAGUGGCGAAGGCGGCUUUCUGGUCUGUAACUGACGCUGAGGCGCGAAAGCGUGGGGAGCAAACAGG
rnacentral:rRNA from 1 species